rnacentral:rRNA from 1 species
GAUGAACGCCGGCGGCGUGCCUAAUACAUGCAAGUCGAGCGAACGGACGAGAAGCUUGCUUCUCUGAUGUUAGCGGCGGACGGGUGAGUAACACGUGGAUAACCUACCUAUAAGACUGGGAUAACUUCGGGAAACCGGAGCUAAUACCGGAUAAUAUUUUGAACCGCAUGGUUCAAAAGUGAAAGACGGUCUUGCUGUCACUUAUAGAUGGAUCCGCGCUGCAUUAGCUAGUUGGUAAGGUAACGGCUUACCAAGGCAACGAUGCAUAGCCGACCUGAGAGGGUGAUCGGCCACACUGGAACUGAGACACGGUCCAGACUCCUACGGGAGGCAGCAGUAGGGAAUCUUCCGCAAUGGGCGAAAGCCUGACGGAGCAACGCCGCGUGAGUGAUGAAGGUCUUCGGAUCGUAAAACUCUGUUAUUAGGGAAGAACAUAUGUGUAAGUAACUGUGCACAUCUUGACGGUACCUAAUCAGAAAGCCACGGCUAACUACGUGCCAGCAGCCGCGGUAAUACGUAGGUGGCAAGCGUUAUCCGGAAUUAUUGGGCGUAAAGCGCGCGUAGGCGGUUUUUUAAGUCUGAUGUGAAAGCCCACGGCUCAACCGUGGAGGGUCAUUGGAAACUGGAAAACUUGAGUGCAGAAGAGGAAAGUGGAAUUCCAUGUGUAGCGGUGAAAUGCGCAGAGAUAUGGAGGAACACCAGUGGCGAAGGCGACUUUCUGGUCUGUAACUGACGCUGAUGUGCGAAAGCGUGGGGAUCAAACAGGAUUAGAUACCCUGAUAGUCCACGCCGUAAACGAUGAGUGCUAAGUGUUAGGGGGUUUCCGCCCCUUAGUGCUGCAGCUAACGCAUUAAGCACUCCGCCUGGGGAGUACGACCGCAAGGUUGAAACUCAAAGGAAUUGACGGGGACCCGCACAAGCGGUGGAGCAUGUGGUUUAAUUCGAAGCAACGCGAAGAACCUUACCAAAUCUUGACAUCCUUUGACAACUCUAGAGAUAGAGCUUUCCCCUUCGGGGGACAAAGUGACAGGUGGUGCAUGGUUGUCGUCAGCUCGUGUCGUGAGAUGUUGGGUUAAGUCCCGCAACGAGCGCAACCCUUAAGCUUAGUUGCCAUCAUUAAGUUGGGCACUCUAAGUUGACUGCCGGUGACAAACCGGAGGAAGGUGGGGACGACGUCAAAUCAUCAUGCCCCUUAUGAUUUGGGCUACACACGUGCUACAAUGGACAAUACAAAGGGCAGCGAAACCGCGAGGUCAAGCAAAUCCCAUAAAGUUGUUCUCAGUUCGGAUUGUAGUCUGCAACUCGACUACAUGAAGCUGGAAUCGCUAGUAAUCGUAGAUCAGCAUGCUACGGUGAAUACGUUCCCGGGUCU